rnacentral:rRNA from 1 species
AUUGAACGCUGGCGGCAUGCCUUACACAUGCAAGUCGAACGGCAGCACGGGUGCUUGCACCUGGUGGCGAGUGGCGAACGGGUGAGUAAUACAUCGGAACAUGUCCUGUAGUGGGGGAUAGCCCGGCGAAAGCCGGAUUAAUACCGCAUACGAUCUACGGAUGAAAGCGGGGGCCCUUCGGGCCUCGCCCUAUAGGGUUGGCCGAUGGCGGAUUAGCUAGUUGGUGGGGUAAAGGCCUACCAAGGCGACGAUCAGUAGCUGGUCUGAGAGGACGACCAGCCACACUGGGACUGAGACACGGCCCAGACUCCUACGGGAGGCAGCAGUGGGGAAUUUUGGACAAUGGGCGAAAGCCUGAUCCAGCAAUGCCGCGUGUGUGAAGAAGGCCUUCGGGUUGUAAAGCACUUUUGUCCGGAAAGAAAUCCUUGGCCCUAAUACGGUCGGGGGAUGACGGUACCGGAAGAAUAAGCACCGGCUAACUACGUG